CUGCUGCAGGUGAUUGGGAGAGCCUUCUGGACUCAGAGACACCUCCACUGGUUCUGGGAAGAUCUGGAGGCAGAGGGAGGGUCCACAGAAAAGCCCCCCGAGGAUUAACAGGAACUGAAGUUCUGUCUCCCCAUUCUCACCGCUCCUCCCAGUGAAAGUCUGGUAUUAUGGCCUUCUGUCACAGUGGCCAUCACUCACUCCUGUUGACAUGCCUUUUGUUUUAAUGAGGCUGGGCUGUAAGAGUCUCAAAGCGGCAGAACAACUGUGUAAACCACUUUUACAUUCAUGUCCAGUUUUCUGUGAAAUUUGUUUCAGCUUAUAAAAUAGCAUGUUUUUGACCCAA